GCCUCCCGCGUAGCUGGGACUCACUGCACGCUCCGCCUCCCGGGUUCACGCGAUUCUCCCGCCUCAGCCUCCCGCGUAGCUGGGACUCACUGCAGGCUCCGCCUCCCGGGUUCACGCGAUUCUCCCGCCUCAGGCUCCCGCGCAGCUGGGAUUACUCUCGCGAGCCCCCGCGCCCGGCUAGUUUUUGUGCUUUUAGUAGAGACGGCGUUUCACCAUGUUAGCCAAGAUGGUCUAGAUCUCUUGACCUCGUGAUCCUCCCACCCACAGUGCUGGGAUUACAGGAGUAAGCCACUGCGCCCGACCGGCCACAUUUGUUUUUUUUUUUUUUUUACUGGGAGAAGAAAGGGUUGAGGCCCUGGGAUUUAAGGAGUCGAGUGCAUAUCCUACAAGCACCUGUGAAGACAAGUCUGGAGUGGGAAGGCCCCAUGGAUCCGGGGUAAACAGAGAAAUCUUUAGGUGACAGCAUUUACCAGGAGGAAAUGGGGAAGGGAGACAUCUAGAAAUGUCACUAAAGACAAAAGAUUAUACUCACCCUAUUUUCCGCAUGAAGGAAUACAGUCUCACAAAUAAACCAUCGCUUUUUGAGAUGUGGCAGAGAAACAGCAUUCUCAGUUGGAUACAGAGACUGGAAGCUACAGUUCAAGGUGAUAGAGCCCAAAAAAGGUAGAGCUGGGAUCCUCCAACCAUUGUUUGAAUGACAGCUGCUUGCUU
rnacentral:lncRNA from 10 species